UACGUAGGGACCAAGCGUUGUCCGGAAUCAUUGGGCGUAAAGAGCUCGUAGGCGGUCUGUUGCGUCUGCUGUGAAAACUCGGGGCUUAACCCCGAGCCUGCAGUGGAUACGGGCAGACUAGAGGUAGGUAGGGGAGAAUGGAAUUCCCGGUGUAGCGGUGAAAUGCGCAGAUAUCGGGAGGAACACCGGUGGCGAAGGCGGUUCUCUGGGCCUUACCUGACGCUGAGGAGCGAAAGCGUGGGGAGCGAACAGG
rnacentral:rRNA from 1 species